rnacentral:rRNA from 1 species
CAAACCAAAGCUGGCGACCGGCGCACGGGUGAGUAACACGUAUCCAACCUGCCUCAUACUCGGGGAUAGCCUUUCGAAAGAAAGAUUAAUAUCCGAUAGCAUAUAUUUCCCGCAUGGGUUUUAUAUUAAAGAAAUUCGGUAUGAGAUGGGGAUGCGUUCCAUUAGUUUGUUGGGGGGGUAACGGCCCACCAAGACUACGAUGGAUAGGGGUUCUGAGAGGAAGGCCCCCCACAUUGGAACUGAGACACGGUCCAA